rnacentral:lncRNA from 1 species
UCCCAUAUGUUUGGCCUCACCAAGGAAAAGAGGAAAGAAAGAAAGAACAAAACCCUAGUUAGAAAAAAUUCAAGAGAAAAUUUUGGAAUUUCAAGGAAUCAAGUGACAAAAGGUAAGAUUUUUCAAUUUUAGCUUUAGAUCUAUCUUUCCUAAGCAUUCUAUCUCAUUUUCCAUGGUUGAAAUUCAUGAUUUCAUGAUGGAUCCCUUGUUGGCCGAACCUAGGGGGAGAAGAUUUGAUGAUGAAUUUAGUUGGAAAACAUGUUAUUCUAGUGUUUUUAGUUGGUUGGUGAUGUGUAGCAUAAAAAGCAAACAAGAAAAAUUCAUGUUCUUCCAUCACCCUCACUGGCCGAAUCUUCCUUAUGGUAUGUUGGUGGUGGAUUUGAUUUUAUUCAAGUGAUUUGGUUAAGAACUAAUGAUUUAUGGUAUAAAAAAAUCAAGUAUGAAAAACCAUAGUGUUUAUGCACCCACCAUGGCCAAAUUUCAUAAGGAACCUAGUGAUGAUGAUUCUUGUGAUAUCUUGUAUUAUUUAGUUAGAAUUUAAUGAAUGGUGGUGAUGAAAAUCGAAAAUGGUAAUUUUAAAGUAUAGUUAUUUUAGUAAAUAAGUUGAAUAACAAUGAGAAAGUCAAGCUCAUUGAGGCGCUUUAGUGUAUUUUGGGACAUUGGAAGUGUGAUGAACAUAAUUGGAGUCAAUUUGGAUGUUUUGGUUAAAUCAAAGGUGGAGAGUUCGAAUUAGGUCGAAAAUCGAUCCAUUCCAAUCACAAUUGAACCAACGUGUAACACCGUCUUUAAGUGACUAUCAGAACAACCUCAUGCAUUCAUUUGGAGCCUGAAAUAGAUUUAUAAUGACAUGACACAAUAUAUUGAAUUAUUUGUCAUGUAUUGUGUAUAGGUGGUGAGUCUUCUAACAAGGGUAAAGACAUUGUGCCAGAGGACCAAGAAUAGGAGUAUUUUGAACUCCUAAUAUCGUGAGUAACCUUAUUAUCGUCUUAAUUAUCUAAAGUAGUUUUUAUUCAUUUUUGUGAUUUUAUAGAAAAAUGAGUUUAAAUGGUAAAUCCUAAUGUUUUAUAAGUAAAAUGUGAUUAAAUGAAAUGAGUUUUAUAAAUCAUUUUGAAAUUGAAUGAUGAUUUUAGAAAUUGAGUAAUUGGAGACUGUUUAAUUGUGUUGUAAAUUUAUGGUUUGAAUUGAAUGGCUUAUGGUGAUAUUGGCAUGAAUGGCUG